rnacentral:lncRNA from 1 species
CCCCCUUCCUUAGCCCCUUAUUCUGAACCUGCCCCUUCUUUCCCAACACAACCCAUCAACGCAAACCCUUAGUCCACUCCUAAAAACACGGCCUCCAUCAACGACAGAUCUAGAUCUGGCCAAAAUUAAUAUAUGAAUGUGGGAACUUGAAGUUCAUGGACUUGUCUGGAAAUUUCUUUGCUAGCCAAAUACCAAAACAUGUAUUUACCAAUCUAGGCUAACUUGAAUAUCUCAAUCUCUCCAUUAACCAUUUCCAAGGACCACUGCCAUAAAACUUUCCCAAUCUUAAACGCCUCCAUUUAACAGUGAAC